rnacentral:rRNA from 1 species
GUGGUGCAUGGCUGUCGUCAGCUCGUGUCGUGAGAUGUUGGGUUAAGUCCCGCAACGAGCGCAACCCCCGUUCCAUGUUGCCAGCAUUAAGUUGGGGACUCAUGGGAGACUGCCGGUGACAAACCGGAGGAAGGUGGGGAUGACGUCAAGUCAUCAUGCCCCUUAUGUCCAGGGCUACACACGUGCUACAUUGGCGCAUACAAAGGGCAGCAAUACCGCGAGGUGGAGCAAAUCCCAUAAAGUGCGUCUCGGUUCGGAUUGGAGGCUGAAACUCGCCUCCAUGAAGGUGGAGUUGCUAGUAAUCGCAGAUCAGCAAUGCUGCGGUGAAUACGUUCCCGGGCCUUGUACACACCGCCCGUCACACCACGAAAGCGAGUAACACCCGAAGCCGGUGGCCUAACCGCAAGGAGGGAGCCGUCGAAGGUGGGACCCGUGAUUGGGGUGAAGUCGUAACAAGGUAAC